rnacentral:rRNA from 1 species
CUUUCUUGUCAGCUNUUGUUGUUAGAAUGUUGGGUUAAGUCCCGUACAUCUGAGCGCAACCCUUGUCCNUAUUUUGCCAGCGGGUAAGCCGGAACUCUAAGGAGACUGCCGGUGACAAACCGGAGGAAGGUGGGGACGACGUCAAGUCAUCAUGGCCCUCACGGGGUGGGCUACAAACGUGCUACAAUGGGAAGUACAAAGGGCUGCGAACCAGCGANGGUAAGCGAAUCCCAAAAAACUUCUCGUAGUCCGGAUUGGAGUCUGCAACUCGACUCCAUGAAGUCGGAAUCGCUAGAAUCGCGAAUCAGAUGUCGCGGUGAA